rnacentral:rRNA from 1 species
GUUUGAUCCUGGCUCAGAUUGAACGCUGGCGGCAGGCUUAACACAUGCAAGUCGAGCGGGCGAGGUUGCUUCGGUAACUGAGCUAGCGGCGGACGGGUGAGUAAUGCUUAGGAAUCUGCCUAUUAGUGGGGGACAACAUUCCGAAAGGAAUGCUAAUACCGCAUACGCCCUACGGGGGAAAGCAGGGGAUCUUCGGACCUUGCGCUAAUAGAUGAGCCUAAGUCAGAUUAGCUAGUUGGUGGGGUAAAGGCCUACCAAGGCGACGAUCUGUAGCGGGUCUGAGAGGAUGAUCCGCCACACUGGGACUGAGACACGGCCCAGACUCCUACGGGAGGCAGCAGUGGGGAAUAUUGGACAAUGGGCGCAAGCCUGAUCCAGCCAUGCCGCGUGUGUGAAGAAGGCCUUUUGGUUGUAAAGCACUUUAAGCGAGGAGGAGGCUACUUGGAUUAAUACUCUAGGAUAGUGGACGUUACUCGCAGAAUAAGCACCGGCUAACUCUGUGCCAGCAGCCGCGGUAAUACAGAGGGUGCGAGCGUUAAUCGGAUUUACUGGGCGUAAAGCGUGCGUAGGCGGCUUCUUAAGUCGGAUGUGAAAUCCCUGAGCUUAACUUAGGAAUUGCAUUCGAUACUGGGAAGCUAGAGUAUGGGAGAGGAUGGUAGAAUUCCAGGUGUAGCGGUGAAAUGCGUAGAGAUCUGGAGGAAUACCGAUGGCGAAGGCAGCCAUCUGGCCUAAUACUGACGCUGAGGUACGAAAGCAUGGGGAGCAAACAGGAUUAGAUACCCUGGUAGUCCAUGCCGUAAACGAUGUCUACUAGCCGUUGGGGCCUUUGAGGCUUUAGUGGCGCAGCUAACGCGAUAAGUAGACCGCCUGGGGAGUACGGUCGCAAGACUAAAACUCAAAUGAAUUGA